UUAACGCUUGGAGUUCUCUCGAGCACUUCGCCGAAUCCAGCAGCCUGCAAUAAUUAUGUCAUCUGCAUGAAUGAAUGGAUUCGCUGAAGUGUUUGGGGGAACUCCGAGCGUCAU
rnacentral:pre_miRNA from 1 species